rnacentral:rRNA from 1 species
AAAUUGAAGAGUUUGAUCAUGGCUCAGAUUGAACGCUGGCGGCAGGCCUAACACAUGCAAGUCGAACGGUAACAGGAAUCAGCUUGCUGAUUCGCUGACGAGUGGCGGACGGGUGAGUAAUGUCUGGGAAACUGCCUGAUGGAGGGGGAUAACUACUGGAAACGGUAGCUAAUACCGCAUAAUGUCGCAAGACCAAAGAGGGGGACCUUCGGGCCUCUUGCCAUCGGAUGUGCCCAGAUGGGAUUAGCUUGUUGGUGGGGUAACGG